GACUGCUGACAAAAGCUUACUGAUAUUACCCUUUGCUCUUUAUUUCUCAACUAUACCUGUUGGCAAGCAAGUGAUGAUUUUAGCAUGUAUGGCAUGAAAUGAAACUCCACAGGUGGAACAGAAUUUCACCUCAGAAAAGAAAAACUACAAGUCCAUGACAGUUUUCUUUGCUUGUUUUCUAUUUGUUACAGUGCAGUUCUAUGUUACUGUAGUGGAAAUGCUAAAUCACAGCCUGAAACAGCGAUUGAACACCUGGUGGGAAGGCAUGGCCAACCCAGAGGUGCUCAGGUGCCUGCAGUGUACUGGCAUGUCUGGAAGGGGUGGAGCCGGGAUCCUCUCCUUCCCAGAUCUCACUAAAGGGUUGACAGGGGGAGGUAAAGGUUUCUUUUGGAGAUCUCUGUGUACCUUAGGCCUUCUAAAGGUCAGAUGGGACAGAGAGCAGGGAACUCCAAAGGAAGCACCCGGAUCCAUGCAGCAUGCUUUGGUAAUGAAGACAAGGCUGAUGGGCAGUGAAUGUAGUCCUGGCAUGCAUCCAAAGAGAUCUGAUGGGCCCAAUGCAGCUUUGAUGAAAUCCAGAGGAAAAUUUCUCCCAUUGCUCUGCACCCUGGUUGAGAUUGGUGAGAGACUGUUUGGAGCUAUGGGUUCUGGUGGUGUUUACAGCAGUUCUGUACCUUUAAUUCUCUGCAUGUAAGGAAUGUCCUGAAUGGCAAGCAGAGUGAUCCCAUCACAGAGACCCUCAGAGGACCCACCUGCAGCCCUGCUUCCUGGAUUUGAUUUUAUUUGACAUCUUGAUAUUGCCAGCUCUGUUGUUUUAUCUGCUGCCUUAUGAUAGCUGAAGAUUUAUUGAGACCAUAACUUUGGGGAAAAAAUGGUU